UCAAACUUGGUCAUUUAGAGGAAGUAAAAGUCGUAACAAGGUCUCCGUUGGUGAACCAGCGGAGGGAUCAUUAACAGAGUUAAAAACUCUCAAACCCUUUGUGAAUUUAUUUCGUUGCUUCGGCAGGUGGCCCCAGGGCGGGGUUAUUACCUGUGAAGGUGCCUGCCGAAGGGCUAAAACUCUAUAUUUUAAUUAGUAUGCUCUGAGUUAACAUUUAAAAUUAAGUUAAAACUUUCAACAACGGAUCUCUUGGUUCUGGCAUCGAUGAAGAACGCAGC
rnacentral:misc_RNA from 1 species